ensembl:lncRNA
CUCCAACAUGUGGUCUUUGAAGGUUUCUGGAGAACACACAGGGCUCCAGGAAUCGCCAGUGGUGGGGAGGGUUACGCUGGGUCUGAGUUCCUCUCUUCUCUCGAGGUGUUAACAACAGGCCCGGAUUCUAAGGAAGAGAGGAGGGCUCAUCACCUGCCUCGUGGCUUCCUUAAACGAAGAUGCCAAAUCUCUCCUCCUCCUAUCCUGAGCUCCUAAAGGAAGCCGGCAGCCAAAGGGAGCAGGGAUCUUUUCUUCUCUCUGUCUCGGUGCCUCGACAGAUGAACUUUCCUACAAUCCCGCGCUCAUCCGGGCUGACCCCCUGCCGGGAGUCAUUGUCUCCAGCAGAAUAGGGGAUCCGAGAGCCUUUGUGCCAGGGAGCGGGGAAGACAGA